rnacentral:tRNA from 1 species
GCCCAGGUGGCGAAAUUGGUAGACGCACCAGAUUUAGGUUCUGGCGCCGCAAGGCGUGGGGGUUCGAUUCCCUUCCUGGGCACCA